UACGAAGGGGGCUAGCGUUGUUCGGAUUUACUGGGCGUAAAGGGCGCGUAGGCGGUGCCAUAAGUCAGGCGUGAAAGCCCCGGGCUCAACCCGGGAAUUGCGCUUGAUACUGUUGCACUUGAAUCCAGGAGAGGAUGGCGGAAUUCCCAGUGUAGAGGUGAAAUUCGUAGAUAUUGGGAAGAACACCAGUGGCGAAGGCGGCCAUCUGGCCUGGAAUUGACGCUGAGGCGCGAAAGCGUGGGGAGCAAACAGG
rnacentral:rRNA from 1 species